UGGGGGAUAUUGCACAAUGGGCGAAAGCCUGAUGCAGCGACGCCGCGUGGGGGAUGAAGGCUUUCGGGUUGUAAACCUCUUUCGCUAUCGAACAAGGCCCGCUUAGGGUGGGUUGAGGGUAGGUGGAGAAGAAGCGCCGGCUAACUACGUGCCAGCAGCCGCGGUAAUACGUAGGGCGCGAGCGUUGUCCGGAAUUAUUGGGCGUAAAGGGCUUGUAGGCGGCUUGUUGCGCCUGCUGUGAAAACGCGGGGCUUAACUUCGCGCGUGCAGUGGGUACGGGCAGGCUUGAGUGUGGUAAGGGUGACUGGAAUUCCAGGUGUAGCGGUGGAAUGCGCAGAUAUCUGGGGGAACACCGAUGGCGAAGGCAGGUCACUGGGCCAUUACUGACGCUGAGGAGCGAAAGCAUGGGUAGCGAACAGG
rnacentral:rRNA from 1 species